GAUGAACGCUGGCGGCGUGCCUAAUACAUGCAAGUCGAGCGAACGGACGAGAAGCUUGCUUCUCUGAUGUUAGCGGCGGACGGGUGAGUAACACGUGGAUAACCUACCUAUAAGACUGGGAUAACUUCGGGAAACCGGAGUUAAUACCGGAUGAUAUUUUGAACCGCAUGGUUCAAAAGUGAAAGACGGUCUUGCUGUCACUUAUAGAUGGAUCCGCGCUGCAUUAGCUAGUUGGUAAGGUAACGGCUUACCAAGGCAACGAUGCAUAGCCGACCUGAGAGGGUGAUCGGCCACACUGGAACUGAGACACGGUCCAGACUCCUACGGGAGGCAGCAGUAGGGAAUCUUCCGCAAUGGGCGAAAGCCUGACGGAGCAACGCCGCGUGAGUGAUGAAGGUCUUCGGAUCGUAAAACUCUGUUAUUAGGGAAGAACAUAUGUGUAAGUAACUGUGCACAUCUUGACGGUACCUAAUCAGAAAGCCACGGCUAACUACGUGCCAGCAGCCGCGGUAAUACGUAGGUGGCAAGCGUUAUCCCGGAUUAUUGGGCGUGAGCGCGCGUAGGCGGUUUUUUAGGUCUGAUGUGAAAGCCCACGGCUCAACCGUGGAGGGUCAUUGGAAACUGGAAAACUUGAGUGCAGAAGAGGAAAGUGGAAUUCCAUGUGUAGCGGUGAAAUGCGCAGAGAUAUGGAGGAACACCAGUGGCGAAGGCGACUUUCUGGUCUGUAACUGACGCUGAUGUGCGAAAGCGUGGGGAUCAAACAGGAUUAGAUACCCUGGUAGUCCACGCCGUAAACGAUGAGUGCUAAGUGUUAGGGGGUUUCCGCCCCUUAGUGCUGCAGCUAACGCAUUAAGCACUCCGCCUGGGGAGUACGACCGCAAGGUUGAAACUCAAAGGAAUUGACGGGGACCCGCACAAGCGGUGGAGCAUGUGGUUUAAUUCGAAGCAACGCGAAGAACCUUACCAAAUCUUGACAUCCUUUGACAACUCUAGAGAUAGAGCCUUCCCCUUCGGGGGACAAAGUGACAGGUGGUGCAUGGUUGUCGUCAGCUCGUGUCGUGAGAUGUUGGGUUAAGUCCCGCAACGAGCGCAACCCUUAAGCUUAGUUGCCAUCAUUAAGUUGGGCACUCUAAGUUGACUGCCGGUGACAAACCGGAGGAAGGUGGGGAUGACGUCAAAUCAUCAUGCCCCUUAUGAUUUGGGCUACACACGUGCUACAAUGGACAAUACAAAGGGCAGCGAAACCGCGAGGUCAAGCAAAUCCCAUAAAGUUGUUCUCAGUUCGGAUUGUAGUCUGCAACUCGACUACAUGAAGCUGGAAUCGCUAGUAAUCGUAGAUCAGCAUGCUACGGUGAAUACGUUCCCGGGUCU
rnacentral:rRNA from 1 species